rnacentral:tRNA from 1 species
GGAGGGCCCAUAACUCAGUGGUAGAGUUUCUACUUUGCAUGCAGAAGACCCCACAUUCAAUCCUUGGCAUCUCUU